GCCGCCGCCGCUUCUGCCCGGGGUCCCCGAGGCGCACCCCCGGCUGAGGAGCGCGUCAGCCGGCUGACCACCAGCGUCGCGGAGCGGAGCCGCGGAGCCGGCGGACGGACGGGCGGGCGGGCGGGCGCGCGGACAGGCUCGCCGACCAUGGCCGACCAGAGGCAGCGCUCACUCUCUACCUCUGGGGAGUCGCUGUACCAUGUGCUGGGGCUGGACAAGAACGCCACCUCCGACGACAUCAAGAAGUCCUACCGGAAACUGGCCUUGAAGUACCACCCCGACAAGAACCCGGACAACCCCGAGGCCGCGGACAAGUUCAAGGAGAUCAACAACGCGCACGCCAUCCUCACCGACGCCACGAAGCGGAACAUCUACGACAAGUACGGCUCGCUGGGCCUCUACGUGGCCGAGCAGUUUGGAGAGGAGAACGUGAACACCUACUUUGUGCUGUCCAGCUGGUGGGCCAAGGCCCUGUUCGCCGUCUGCGGGCUCCUCACCUGCUGCUACUGCUGCUGCUGCCUGUGCUGCUGCUUCAACUGCUGCUGCGGGAAGUGCAAGCCCAAGGCGGCCGAGGGCGAGGAGACCGAGUUCUACGUGUCCCCCGAGGACCUGGAGGCGCAGCUGCAGUCGGACGAGCGGGGCGGGCACUGACACGGUGCCGGGAUGUGUGUGUGGCGGCUGGGCCCGUUGGGAGCGUGGACUCGGAGAGGCCACAGACACGCCGAUUGUCAUACAGCCAGCGUCUGCCACAGAGACCACCCAGCUCACGGCCGACUCCCACCCCAGCUACCACACUGACGGGUUCAAUUAAGCUCAGCGAAGCUGCGACUCGCGGAUCAGUCAGCGCCCGGCCACUCCGACCUUAGAACCAUGAACUGCAGUCCGGGAGGCGGGGAGGGCGCCGCUCUGGCCGCAGGGAAGGGGCCCCUCCUGCCUCCGUGCCCGCCCGCCCGCCGACCCCCGACACGUGAAGUUCGUAGCAUGCAGUAUUUAAAGCAGUUUAGCUACGGUCGCCGUCCUCUGUUUUUUCCUUUUCUAAUAGCAUGUGUGGGGUUCUGUUCCAUGUCUGUCUGUGUUGUGGACGUGCCGCGGGGUGACCACAGGGACCGGAUGGCCGCGCCGCCCGGGGCCGGCGGUCAGGCUGCUGCAGCGAGUUGGCCGUGUGGCGUGGGGUCCCCGCUGCCCCCGGGCUGGGGCAGGGGCUGCUGUGGAGCUGUGGGGUCCGGUCCGGCCCGGCCGCGGGGCCGCCGGCAGCCUCUGGACUCGCUUGCUGGCCGGGAGCUGAGCGCGUCCCCGGGCGCUCUCACCCCCGCAGGCGUUGGCAGCAAGGACAGUGUGUGCAGGUCAGGCCUGCCUCGGGGGCGUGCAUCGUGGGCGUGGCCCUGCGGUGCGUGCGCGUGUGCGGGGCCUGCGGGGGGCCGCGGCCCUGAGACCGCCUUCUCUGCCUGUGUCGGCCUGAGUCCCCCGCGCUACGGCGUGUCCCUCAGCCCGCAAGCUGGGUGACGGCCACGUCCCAGCGGUCUCCCCUCCCUCCUCUGCGUUGCCUUCCACGCUCCUGCAGGCCCCCGCUAGUCGUUGUCGGGCUGAGGGUCCAGGCUGCUGGUGGCGCCUGGCCGCCCGGCCUGCGCUCUGCUUCCGGAGCCCCUGCUCGCCCCUCCUUCCACUGCUCCCCGGCCAGAGCCAGCGACGCCAGGGCCCUGGGGAGGGGCCCGCUGGACCAAAGGCCGCUCUGGCCGGGGAGCCCCGGGUCCCUUUGCUUGUUAGCCCCUCACUGCUUUUUCGGGCGGUGCCUCCCGUGAGCUGCUGGGAGGCGGCCGUGUGUCUGUCCCAGAGCGUGCGAGGGGUGCCCUGCUGUGGGGACGGGGGAGCGUGGGCCUUGUGUCGGGGCGGCAGACUCAGCGAACCCUGCCCCUGGCCUCAGAGGCCCACGCGGCCCCCACGGGCCCGGUUUCUGCAGAACAAACCUAAGAGCUGCCGCUGCACAUGCCUGGCCGUGCAGGAGAGUGGGGGGCAAGCGCGGGAGGCUGGGCGGCAGCGUGGUUCCCCGCGUCGGACAGACCAGAACAUGCUCCUGAGGCCGCUGUCCUCGCCCGCCACUGGGGCCACGCAGACGGCAGGCUCAGCGGGCGGGCGGGGCAGGAGGGCACGGCCACUCUGCGGGCAGCACCGGGGCUCGGGUGCCAUCCGGUCCCGCUCGGGGGGUUGUGCACAUUGGAUGACCGUGCGGACCCGGUGAGGGGGCAGCUCUGCACUGUGAGGCCGUGCGAGCCGGCGGCCGGCACCGGGCCUCCCCGGCAAGGAAGAGACGCGCGGUUGGACCCCCUGGCACGAGGGAGGAAGGAGGACAGGCUGCGUCCGCCCCGGGGAUGCCUCUGGGAGUCACGUGGGACAUGAGUUGUUUCCCCCGAAGGACCAAGCACCCGCUUGCAGUCACGUGUGUCAGGCCGGGCACCGCCUGCGCAGGGGCCGUGCUGUUGCUGGCCAGUGUAGGCCCUGCCGGGCGUCGGCCAGCUGUCCACCUUGCGCUCGGGAUGGGGAGCUCCCCGGGGCCGGGGGUGCUGCAGGCGUGGCAGCAGCUGGUGGGUCAGGUCUCUGCGGCGAGCCCUUGUUUUCUGUGGCCUGUCUCCCUGGUGAGCAGAGCAGUGGAGGCUGGGGGGGCACCCUGUUCAUGUGCCGAGUGGGGGGCGAGCCUGUGCCUCACUCCAGGGCUGCCCAGGGUGGUGGCCGUGUGUGGCCGGGGCCAGUGUCCGACGGCAGCUAGUGAGUGUGGCCCGGGCGUGUUGGGGUCUGUUUUGCCAAAGGCAGGGCUGGCCAGAGGUGGCAGGCGUGGCAGGCGCCUCAGGGGUCCGGCAGUGCUGCCCGUGGCUCCUGGAAGCGCACGCCAGGCACCAGCGGGCGUCUGGUGGCAGCUGCUGGCGUGGAGGUCUCUGUUGCGCUCAGUGAUGUGGUCUCGUCUCGUCUUCCUUUUGGCUCUGUCCUCGUGUCAAACUGCUUUAGGCGCUGCUGCUCCGCGGGGCCCGGCUGGGCGGGCGGCGUCCCCCGCUGUGGG